rnacentral:rRNA from 1 species
AGUGAACGCUGGCGGUAGGCCUAACACAUGCAAGUCGAACGGCAGCACAGUAAGAGCUUGCUCUUACGGGUGGCGAGUGGCGGACGGGUGAGGAAUACAUCGGAAUCUACUUUUUCGUGGGGGAUAACGUAGGGAAACUUACGCUAAUACCGCAUACGACCUACGGGUGAAAGCAGAGGAUCUUCGGACCUUGCGCGAUUGAAUGAGCCGAUGUCGGAUUAGCUAGUUGGCGGGGUAAAGGCCCACCAAGGCGACGAUCCGUAGCUGGUCUGAGAGGAUGAUCAGCCACACUGGAACUGAGACGCGGUCCAGGCUCCUACGGGAGGCAGCAGUGGGGAAUAUUGGACGAUGGGCGCAAGCCUGAUCCAGCCAUACCGCGUGGGUGAAGAAGGCCUUCGGGUUGUAAAGCCCUUUUGUUGGGAAAGAAAAGCAGCAGGUUAAUACCCCGCUGUUCUGACGGUACCCAAAGAAUAAGCACCGGCUAACUUCGUG